ensembl:lncRNA
GUGAGGGGGGAGGAGUCAUCAUCCAGGUAAAGUGACGUGGAUCAGUGAAUACACGUGUCUCCCCUUUAAAGGAGACGAUCCAAGUCAUCCUUAAAUAUGGGCAGCAUAUCAGUCUUGGACUGUCUAACCUGCAGCACUGAAUGACCACCACACAUGAGCAUGUUCCUGCAACAUUCAGCAUCUGAUCCUUCAUCUGUGUGCUGCUGCUUUUGUGUCACAUGUCAAACAGCUGGAGAGGAAACUACACCAGUGUACUGGGAUGUUUCACCAACACGUGCCAGAUGCUGUUCCUUCAUGGUGACAUCACCAGAGACAGCCCCGCCCACCUCAGGACCUCGCCAUUGAUCAUGAUGAUUAUAAUGAUGACAGCGAGCGGAACUAAGACUGUAAAAAUCCACGACCAGAAUGUUUCUUUCUAAUUAUGAAUGAAUACUGAGAGCCUCUUUCUGUGUUUUGUCUGUUUUGUUUUUUUACCUCAUUUGUUUCUAACAAAGUUCACAAACUCACACAGUUUACAUUCUGUAUGUUUCCAUCUUUACCAGCCACACUAACUGCAUUUAAGAAAAUAAUCCUUAGAAAUCGUCGUUUUUCUCUUUUGUAAUUGAUGAUAAUUCAGUGAAUAUACUGCGCUGCUUCCUUUUAUUGCGUCUCACAUUGCUUUAAGUUUUUCAGUGUCGUUAUUUUUUACUGCUGUUUGAAUUCUCUGUAUGUUUGACCCUGUAGACUGUUUGAUGGACUGCUUGCCUUCCUGUUUGUAACCGCCGCCUGUUUUUUAAUAAAGAUUUGGAUUUCUGACUUCAACACA